GCUAUGUGAGCAUGCUGCUGUAGG
rnacentral:piRNA from 1 species